rnacentral:rRNA from 1 species
AACGAACGCUGGCGGCAGGCCUAACACAUGCAAGUCGAACGGUUGUAGCAAUACAUCAGUGGCGCACGGGUGAGUAACACGUGGGAACGUGCCCUUCACUACGGGACAACGUCGGGAAACUGACGCUAAUACCGUAUAAUGUCUCCGGACCAAAGAGUUAUCGGUGAAGGAUCGGCCCGCGUCUGAUUAGCCAGUUGGUGAGGUAAUGGCUCACCAAGGCGACGAUCAGUAGCUGGUUGGAGAGAAUGAUCAGCCACACUGGGACUGAGACACGGCCCAGACUCCUACGGGAGGCAGCAGUGAGGAAUCUUGGACAAUGGGCGCAAGCCUGAUCCAGCCAGGCCGCGUGAGUGAUGAAGGCCUUAGGGUUGUAAAGCUCUUUUGCCGGGGAUGAUAAUGACCGUACCCGGAGAAUAAGCCUCGGCUAAAUUCGUGCCAGCCGCCGCCGUAA